CGCUUUCACUCCUACGGGAGGCAGCAGUGGGGAAUCUUGGACAAUGGGGGCAACCCUGAUCCAGCCAUGCCGCGUGAGUGAUGAAGGCCUUAGGGUCGUAAAGCUCUUUCGCCUGUGAUGAUAAUGACAGUAGCAGGUAAGAAACCCCGGCUAACUCCGUGCCAGCAGCCGCGGUAAUACGGAGGGGGUUAGCGUUGUUCGGAAUUACUGGGCGUAAAGCGCGCGUAGGCGGAUUAGUCAGUUAGAGGUGAAAUCCCAGGGCUCAACCCUGGAACUGCCUUUAAUACUGCUAGUCUUGAGUUCGAGAGAGGUGAGUGGAAUUCCGAGUGUAGAGGUGAAAUUCGUAGAUAUUCGGAGGAACACCAGUGGCGAAGGCGGCUCACUGGCUCGAUACUGACGCUGAGGUGCGAAAGUGUGGGGAGCAAACAGGAUUAGAUACCCUGGUAG
rnacentral:rRNA from 1 species